GAGAACACACAAACAAGCUCACAUUGUUUCUUUUAUUUAAACUUAGAGUAUUUGUAACUGAUGGAGAGCCAAAGAAUCUACCUAUUGUAGGUACAGUGUUUAACAUACAUUUCACCCAUCCAAUUUCUAGAAGGCUUGUUCCCUUUGGGGAUGUGGGAACCUAGCUCAGUUGACUUUAGGUUACAGGUGGGAUACACCCAGGACUGGGCGCCAAUCAAUCAUAGGCGCAAAAACGAACACAUACUCACACUCACAUUUUCACCAAUGGACAAACUUGAAUCCGGAAUUAACCUAACGUGAAAAGUUUUUGGAAUGUGAAGAAAUUCACAGAAGCACAAGCAGAACAUGAAAAAGCCACACAGAAGGGCCUGAACAGAGAUUUAAACAUGGAGCCUCUCAACUGUGAGGCAGACAGGCUGCAAACAAAGUUUCUAACAAAGUGACCUCGUGUUGCAAAAAUUAACCCAAACAACAACCAGAAAAAAUUUUGCAAAGCCCAAAUUUUACAAAAACAAAUAAAUUUGUAUAUUAUGCAAUUGUUAAUACUGCAGUAACCUGAACCUGAGUCUGUGUAUGCUACUUGGGUAAAAAAAAAAAGACAUAUGAACCAAGUUUUGUGCUUUAUCAUAUAACAUGGAACAUCCACCCAUCCAAUUUCUGACGGUUAUUCUAUAGAGCUCGUGCACCUACGUCACCGAAAUCAUGUGACUGGCCAUAUUUCCAGUAUAGUAACACAUUGUUCAAUGCUACGUUGGUUGGAGACAACAUGAAAAUAUGUCUUCUAGCAAAACGCCCAGAGUCCUGUCCGAGACUGUUAAACAUUUAGAAGGUGAAAAAAAACCCGAAGGUACGGGGUAAAAUUAGGUAAACUCGGCAUAGAGGACCCAUAUUUAAUGCCGUAGUCAAUGUGUUCGGCGAUAAGAAAUUGGACUGUUAAUUCGCUUCCGCUUGUCUUUUACAACUGGAUAUACACAUGUAUUUGAUCCACCACACCCUUUACAGAGAGCUACCUCUAAACGAAAGAUUAUGCUUAGCAGCACUUCAUUGCAACGAGAAUGCUCUACGGGCUCAAGCAAGAGACAAAUCAUGGAGUUUGAUGUAUAACAUAACCUUCCCAAAGGCAAAACAAGGGCAUCACAAGGUGAAGAAGAUAAUCCAGGAUUGUACCUUUGGAUAUGUGGAACGCCUGUUAGAAGAGCUCCGGACCCUCUAAUUGGAUGUGGACCUUACGACUUCCUCUGAUGAACCCCAAGCACCACCACCUCUCAGCAGCCAGUACACAAAGCCAAGCAAGGACUUGGCUAUUCGGGAUAAUUUUUCAAGAUUUUCAAAUCAAAGCUGUUGAAAUGAAAUGUUGUGAAAAUUUAAAAAAAAAAAGAAAUUUGAAGAAGCCGAUUUAAAAACUGUGUCCGGUUUGUUGAAUUUAAACCAAAUUCUAUCCUGAUGGAACUUCAGCGGCAGAAAUUUUAUGUUACAAACUUCUGACACAUGCUGAUUAAUCAGUCAUGUUGCGUGAUGCAAAAAAGUAAUGCAUUAGUCUGGUGUGUUCAAUAAUCAUUAUCUCAACUUGUGUGAAACUCUGUAAAUAUAGAUAAGAUAAGGUGACAUACUGUGGAUUUGAAGUCUCCAGCUCCGAAUGACAUUUUGUGGAAUGAAACAAUAUCAUAUUUAGCAUGUGCAUAUGUAAAUGUUUGUUGUUUAACAUGUUGCUGUAUUCAGUCAGUCUUGACAAAACCGUCCUGAACAAAUGAUAGUUUCAUCUACAGUGGUUUGUAAAAAAUACUUAUACUGAUACUUACAGAUGAUAACACAAAUUCAUCAACCAUUUCGCUUACUCUAAUUAGAGUCAACUCGAAAGGCAAAUUUUGCACCAGAAUGCCAGCAAUGUCCAUCAAUUAUUAGUCCAGGAUCAAUGCUUUACUUUCAUGCAAAGAAAAGGGUAAUGUUCAUCAGCUGGGAAUAAAUCCUGUCAACACGGCAUCAUCUUCAAGUCCUGGGGAUGGAAAUUUUGCUUGGAUUCUCUGCACAGUACAUGAUGGUAUAACAACCCUGUUGCUCUUGCCAAGAGGCCCCCAACACCACCUCACCAACUGUCUGUACACCACGUGGCGAUUUCUUUCAUGUCCUUCUCCUGUGAAGACGUUUCUGCCAUAAUGGUAUUGAAAGACAUGCCAGGCUAUCUCCAAUACAAAAGGGUUUAGGCAGACUUUUCAGCCUUCGUGGUUAACAAUACAAGCCAAAGCGGUUCCAUCCAACUUCUGGGCGGUUUCUGUAAUUUACCUAACAGCAGCGACAUUUUCCCUGGGAAGGCAAUGGCUAGCAAUUUCCACAUUUACACCUGGGUAAAAAAUAUAAUCAGUUAAAAUAAUGGUAUUUGGUUUGUUUUAAGCACAAAGUUGUAUUUCAUAACUAUCUUUUGC